UGGAAGCGUCUGGAAAGGCGCGCGAUACAGGGUGACAGCCCCGUACACAAAAAUGCACAUGCUGUGAGCUCGAUGAGUAGGGCGGGACACGUGGUAUCCUGUCUGAAUAUGGGGGGACCAUCCUCCAAGGCUAAAUACUCCUGACUGACCGAUAGUGAACCAGUACCGUGAGGGAAAGGCGAAAAGAACCCCGGCGAGGGGAGUGAAAAAGAACCUGAAACCGUGUACGUACAAGCAGUGGGAGCACGCUUCGGCGUGUGACUGCGUACCUUUUGUAUAAUGGGUCAGCGACUUAUAUUCUGUAGCAAGGUUAACCGAAUAGGGGAGCCGAAGGGAAACCGAGUCUUAACUGGGCGUUAAGUUGCAGGGUAUAGACCCGAAACCCGGUGAUCUAGCCAUGGGCAGGUUGAAGGUUGGGUAACACUAACUGGAGGACCGAACCGACUAAUGUUGAAAAAUUAGCGGAUGACUUGUGGCUGGGGGUGAAAGGCCAAUCAAACCGGGAGAUAGCUGGUUCUCCCCGAAAGCUAUUUAGGUAGCGCCUCGUGAAUUCAUCUCCGGGGGUAGAGCACUGUUUCGGCAAGGGGGUCAUCCCGACUUACCAACCCGAUGCAAACUGCGAAUACCGGAGAAUGUUAUCACGGGAGACACACGGCGGGUGCUAACGUCCGUCGUGAAGAGGGAAACAACCCAGACCGCCAGCUAAGGUCCCAAAGUCAUGGUUAAGUGGGAAACGAUGUGGGAAGGCCCAGACAGCCAGGAUGUUGGCUUAGAAGCAGCCAUCAUUUAAAGAAAGCGUAAUAGCUCACUGGUCGAGUCGGCCUGCGCGGAAGAUGUAACGGGGCUAAACCAUG
rnacentral:rRNA from 1 species